AGUGCAUCAGGCGGAUGCCUUGGCGAUGAUAGGCGACGAAGGACGUGUAAGCCUGCGAAAAGCGCGGGGGAGCUGGCAAUAAAGCUAUGAUUCCGCGAUGUCCGAAUGGGGAAACCCACUGCAUUCUGUGCAGUAUCCUAAGUUGAAUACAUAGGCUUAGAGAAGCGAACCCGGAGAACUGAACCAUCUAAGUACCCGGAGGAAAAGAAAUCAACCGAGAUUCCGCAAGUAGUGGCGAGCGAACGCGGAGGAGCCUGUACGUAAUAACUGUCGAGAUAGAAGAACAAGCUGGGAAGCUUGACCAUAGCGGGUGACAGUCCCGUAUUCGAAAUCUCAACAGCGGUACUAAGCGUACGAAAAGUAGGGCGGGACACGUGAAAUCCUGUCUGAAUAUGGGGGGACCAUCCUCCAAGGCUAAAUACUCAUCAUCGACCGAUAGUGAACCAGUACCGUGAGGGAAAGGCGAAAAGAACCCCGGGAGGGGAGUGAAACAGAACCUGAAACCUGAUGCAUACAAACAGUGGGAGCGCCCUAGUGGUGUGACUGCGUACCUUUUGUAUAAUGGGUCAACGACUUACAUUCAGUAGCGAGCUUAACCGGAUAGGGGAGGCGUAGGGAAACCGAGUCUUAAUAGGGCGAUGAGUUGCUGGGUGUAGACCCGAAACCGAGUGAUCUAUCCAUGGCCAGGUUGAAGGUGCCGUAACAGGUACUGGAGGACCGAACCCACGCAUGUUGCAAAAUGCGGGGAUGAGCUGUGGGUAGGGGUGAAAGGCUAAACAAACUCGGAGAUAGCUGGUUCUCCCCGAAAACUAUUUAGGUAGUGCCUCGAGCAAGACACUGAUGGGGGUAAAGCACUGUUAUGGCUAGGGGGUUAUUGCAACUUACCAACCCAUGGCAAACUCAGAAUACCAUCAAGUGGUUCCUCGGGAGACAGACAGCGGGUGCUAACGUCCGUUGUCAAGAGGGAAACAACCCAGACCGCCGGCUAAGGUCCCAAAUGAUAGAUUAAGUGGUAAACGAAGUGGGAAGGCACAGACAGCCAGGAUGUUGGCUUAGAAGCAGCCAUCAUUUAAAGAAAGCGUAAUAGCUCACUGGUCGAGUCGUCCUGCGCGGAAGAUGUAACGGGGCUCAAAUCUAUAACCGAAGCUGCGGAUGCCGGUUUACCGGCAUGGUAGGGGAGCGUUCUGUAGGCUGAUGAAGGUGCAUUGUAAAGUGUGCUGGAGGUAUCAGAAGUGCGAAUGUUGACAUGAGUAGCGAUAAAGCGGGUGAAAAGCCCGCUCGCCGAAAGCCCAAGGUUUCCUACGCAACGUUCAUCGGCGUAGGGUAAGUCGGCCCCUAAGGCGAGGCAGAAAUGCGUAGUCGAUGGGAAACAGGUUAAUAUUCCUGUACUUGAUUCAAAUGCGAUGUGGGGACGGAGAAGGUUAGGUUGGCAAGCUGUUGGAAUAGCUUGUUUAAGCCGGUAGGUGGAAGACUUAGGCAAAUCCGGGUUUUCUUAACACCGAGAAGUGAUGACGAGUGUCUACGGACACGAAGCAACCGAUACCACGCUUCCAGGAAAAGCCACUAAGCUUCAGUUUGAAUCGAACCGUACCGCAAACCGACACAGGUGGGCAGGAUGAGAAUUCUAAGGCGCUUGAGAGAACUCGGGAGAAGGAACUCGGCAAAUUGAUACCGUAACUUCGGGAGAAGGUAUGCCCUCUAAGGUUAAGGACUUGCUCCGUAAGCCCCGGAGGGUCGCAGAGAAUAGGUGGCUGCGACUGUUUAUUAAAAACACAGCACUCUGCCAACACGAAAGUGGACGUAUAGGGUGUGACGCCUGCCCGGUGCCGGAAGGUUAAUUGAAGAUGUGCAAGCAUCGGAUCGAAGCCCCGGUAAACGGCGGCCGUAACUAUAACGGUCCUAAGGUAGCGAAAUUCCUUGUCGGGUAAGUUCCGACCCGCACGAAUGGCGUAACGAUGGCUACACUGUCUCCUCCCGAGACUCAGCGAAGUUGAAGUGGUUGUGAAGAUGCAAUCUACCCGCUGCUAGACGGAAAGACCCCGUGAACCUUUACUGUAGCUUUGCAUUGGACUUUGAAGUCACUUGUGUAGGAUAGGUGGGAGGCUUGGAAGCAGAGACGCCAGUCUCUGUGGAGUCGUCCUUGAAAUACCACCCUGGUGUCUUUGAGGUUCUAACCCAGACCCGUCAUCCGGGUCGGGGACCGUGCAUGGUAGGCAGUUUGACUGGGGCGGUCUCCUCCCAAAGCGUAACGGAGGAGUUCGAAGGUUACCUAGGUCCGGUCGGAAAUCGGACUGAUAGUGCAAUGGCAAAAGGUAGCUUAACUGCGAGACCGACAAGUCGGGCAGGUGCGAAAGCAGGACAUAGUGAUCCGGUGGUUCUGUAUGGAAGGGCCAUCGCUCAACGGAUAAAAGGUACUCCGGGGAUAACAGGCUGAUUCCGCCCAAGAGUUCAUAUCGACGGCGGAGUUUGGCACCUCGAUGUCGGCUCAUCACAUCCUGGGGCUGUAGUCGGUCCCAAGGGUAUGGCUGUUCGCCAUUUAAAGUGGUACGUGAGCUGGGUUUAAAACGUCGUGAGACAGUUUGGUCCCUAUCUGCAGUGGGCGUUGGAAGUUUGACGGGGGCUGCUCCUAGUACGAGAGGACCGGAGUGGACGAACCUCUGGUGUACCGGUUGUAACGCCAGUUGCAUAGCCGGGUAGCUAAGUUCGGAAGAGAUAAGCGCUGAAAGCAUCUAAGCGCGAAACUCGCCUGAAGAUGAGACUUCCCUUGCGGUUUAACCGCACUAAAGGGUCGUUCGAGACCAGGACGUUGA
rnacentral:rRNA from 2 species